GCCCGAAGCCGAUUAUCUAACCUUUUGGAAGAAGUCGUCGAAGGUGGAAUCAAUAACUGGGGUGAAGUCGUAACAAGGUAGCUGUAUCGGAAGGUGCGGCUGGAUCACCUCCUUUCUAAGGAGA
rnacentral:rRNA from 1 species